GUUUUGAUCAGGCUAAGCAACAGCUGAGGACAAUUCAGAUGUUAACACAAGACAUGGACUAUUCCCAAAAGUCCAUAUCUGCUCCCAGAUAUUGGGCAGGGUAGAUUGCUCUGGUAUCAGAAUUCUAAGCCACUUUGUUAGAAAAAGGAUACUUUUACUUUAAUCUAAUCUACUGAAAAAUUGUUCAUGAAGGAUGCCUGCUGUUUUCCUCUGCACGUAUUUAUACUCUCAAUUUAUUGUUGAAUAGAUAAUCAAAAUGCAAGAAUGUCAAUUUGAAGCAUGAAUCUGCACUUGGAAGACCUUGUUUCAAGUUUUUAGGAAGAAUACAUCAUUUUCACUUUCUGGCAUAUGUGAACAAAAUAUUUCAUGCUUCCUUCCAGCUGAUAGAAUGAGGCCUUCAUUACCUCUUCUGUACAAGAUGAUGCAACACUAACCAUCGAUCUAUAAAAUGGACAGGAAGACCUAAAAGAAGGUUCUAAGGAAAAAUAAUGUAAAUAUAAUCAAGGAAUCACUCAGUCUAAAAGGAAUCUCAGCUGGUCAGCCAGUUUCACCUCCUGCUCAGAAAAAGGUCAAUGCUGAAUUCAGACCAGGUUUUGCAAAGCUCUUUUGCCAUCAAGACCUUGAAGAUUUUGAAGAACAAAGACUUCACAGCCUCUCUGAGUAACCUGUUUGAGAGGUGUUCCAGCCUUCUGUUCAUCUUUAUCGCCCUCCUCUGGACACUCCCCAACAAGUUUAUUUCCUUCUUAUGCUAUUGAAUACAAGAAUAAGGCCUUGUUCAUUGGUCCUCAAGAGGAACAAGAUUCCUGAUUUCAACUUCACUAAAGAGGUCAAGAGCCAAGUGGAAGAAUAAGCCAUACAACCACAAUGCUCAUCAGUGUGGAAACCAACCUUCAUUUAUGAAACAGAAUCCCACAAUGCAGAAAUAACUCUGGAAAUGUAUGUUUAGGAAUCAUAAUAAUGGGACCUUCCUCUAGCCCCCAACAUCCAGGAUCUUUGUAAGAAUGAGAGAGAAAGAAAGAAAGAAAGAAAGAAAGAAAGAAAGAAAGAAAGAAAGAAAGAAAGAAAGAAAGAA